rnacentral:siRNA from 1 species
AACUUGGGUGAAGGGGUGAACCCA